CGGCAUGCCUUACACAUGCAAGUCGAACGGCAGCGGGGGAAAGCUUGCUUUCCUGCCGGCGAGUGGCGAACGGGUGAGUAAUACAUCGGAACGUGCCCUGUAGUGGGGGAUAACUAGUCGAAAGAUUAGCUAAUACCGCAUACGACCUGAGGGUGAAAGUGGGGGACCGCAAGGCCUCAUGCUAUAGGAGCGGCCGAUGUCUGAUUAGCUAGUUGGUGGGGUAAAGGCCUACCAAGGCGACGAUCAGUAGCUGGUCUGAGAGGACGAUCAGCCACACUGGGACUGAGACACGGCCCAGACUCCUACGGGAGGCAGCAGUGGGGAAUUUUGGACAAUGGGCGAAAGCCUGAUCCAGCAAUGCCGCGUGUGUGAAGAAGGCCUUCGGGUUGUAAAGCACUUUUGUCCGGAAAGAAAUGGCUCUGGUUAAUACCCGGAGUUGAUGACGGUACCGGAAGAAUAAGGACCGGCUAACUACGUGCCAGCAGCCGCGGUAAUACGUAGGGUCCAAGCGUUAAUC
rnacentral:rRNA from 1 species